rnacentral:rRNA from 1 species
AGUGAACGCUGGCGGUAGGCCUAACACAUGCAAGUCGAACGGCAGCACAGUAAGAGCUUGCUCUUACGGGUGGCGAGUGGCGGACGGGUGAGGAAUACAUCGGAAUCUACUUUUUCGUGGGGGAUAACGUGGGGAAACUUACGCUAAUACCGCAUACGACCUACGGGUGAAAGCAGGGGAUCUUCGGACCUUGCGCGAUUGAAUGAGCCGAUGUCGGAUUAGCUAGUUGGCGGGGUAAAGGCCCACCAAGGCGACGAUCCGUAGCUGGUCUGAGAGGAUGAUCAGCCACACUGGAACUGGGACACGGUCCAGACUCCUACGGGAGGCAGCAGUGGGGAAUAUUGGACAAUGGGCGCAAGCCUGAUCCAGCCAUACCGCGUGGGUGAAGAAGGCCUUCGGGUUGUAAAGCCCUCUUGUUGGGAAAGAAAAGCAGCAGGUUAAUACCCCGCUGUUCUGACGGUACCCAAAGAAUAAGCACCGGCUAACUUCGUG